rnacentral:rRNA from 1 species
UACGUAGGGACCGAGCGUUGUCCGGAAUCAUUGGGCGUAAAGAGCGUGUAGGCGGCCAAUUAAGUCCUGCGUGAAAUCUCGGGGCUCAACCCCGAGCGGUCGUGGGAAACUGGUUGGCUAGAGUGCCGGUAGAGGAGAGUGGAAUUCCCGGUGUAGCAGUGAAAUGCGUAGAGAUCGGGAGGACAUCAGUUGCGAAGGCGGCUCUCGUGGACCAGCACUGACACUGAGGCCACGAAAGGCGUGGGGG